rnacentral:sRNA from 1 species
AUUUGAUGAUGAGGGCAUUGGACUCAAAUCUUUCCCCAUUCAACAAUAAGUGUCUCUCCAUGAGAUUGCCGAAUCCCACAUAUUUCUUUUCUUAUGUU